CCUUGGGAGGCAGUGCUGGAGAGGCCCCUCUGUUGGCUGUAGUGGUGGAAGGUUGUAGCAGCAGGGAUGGAGCCUUCGACCUCCUGCUCCCCCCGUGAGCCCCGACGGGACCGUGCCCUUGGCAAUGGAGGGCCCCCCAUUGCUGAGCCAGCGGUUCCGGGGGCCAGGAGGGAUGGGAUCAGGAUGCCGAGCUCCGCCCAGGGCCAGGGCUGCCAAUGUUCAACCAUGGAGAGAACUGAAAGCAGAGUGAGAUGGAAGCCAAGCUGCAGCACAGGGGUGGGCGAGAAAAGACCCUGGUCCUCAGGUGGAGCUUUGAAUUCCCUGGAAAAAUGGAUCCUGUCAGAUGGUUCAGGCCCUUGUGGAUGCUGGAGCAGAGGCCUCUGUAAUUUAUGGUCACCCUAAAAAGUUGCAAGGAGAGCAAGUUCUGACUGCAGGAUGAGGUGGGAAACAAAGUGCAGUGGUCCAGAGAAAAGCUGAGCUUAAAAUUGGUCCUGUGCCAGAGCAGCCUCGUGCAGUGCUUGUUGCUGUCCCUGAGUGUCCCAUUGCAGUGGAUAUUCCCAAGGGUGCCUUGUGCUGGGGAACACUGGGGGCAGUUCCCUUUCCCUGGGCAGGGCAGGCAGGGCACGUUUCCCCCCUCGAGGGUGGCUCCACAGUCCCACCCUCUGCCCUGGGAGCGUGGCAGAACAUCUGGACCCACUGUCCUUGCCAGAGAGGGCACAAGGGAUGGUUGGAUGGGUGAGGGAAUGGUUCAGGGAGUACAAGCACCAUUAGAAUGAGUAGGGCAGCACAUGGAAAGGAAGGGGGGAGUUAAUCCAGACAGAAUUCAAGCACCUGCCCAACCUGUGAUAGUUUUAGGAACUCAGAGGUGUUGUGGUCCCCAGGAAGUAUUGCCCAGGACUAGGCAGGAGACUUCAGGCUUGGUCACCCCCAGAGCAAGGUGGAAGCCCAGCAGUUUAUUGGUUGGUUUGGCUUUUGGUGACAACAAGGUCCUCCUUUGGGACCAAUCCUUGGCCUGGGCCAUAAAGUCCCAGGGCAGAAGUGUGAGUUUGAGUGGGAAAUGAGCAGCAGGGAGGGUUGGAAACAGCUCAGGGAGCAAUUCAACAGGCUCCAGACCUGUGGCAAAUACGAGCUCCAGAGGGGGAACUGAAGGUUCCUGCCAGUGCUAAUGAUGCCAAUUGGAGCCUCUGGCAGAAGUAGGGUAGGAAGGAAGUGCCCUUAGGAUUUGGGAAUAGGAAGUUACUGGAAGCCAG